rnacentral:rRNA from 1 species
GAUCCUGGCUCAGGAUGAACGCUAGCUACAGGCUUAACACAUGCAAGUCGAGGGGAAACGACAUCGAAAGCUUGCUUUUGAUGGGCGUCGACCGGCGCACGGGUGAGUAACGCGUAUCCAACCUGCCCACCACUUGGGGAGUAACCUUGCGAAAGUAAGACUAAUACCCAAUGAUAUCUCUAGAAGGCAUCUGAAAGAGAUUAAAGAUUUAUCGGUGAUGGAUGGGGAGUGCGU